UAAGGGGUGAAAUGUGACUGGUCCUAAAUGGUAGGGAUUAAGGGUGAAAUGGGACUGAGCCUAAAUGGUGUGGAUAAGGGUGAAAUGGGACUGAGCCUAAAUGGUAUGGAUAAGGGGUAGAAUAAGACUGGGCCUAAAUGGUAGGGAUUAAGGGUAAAAUGGGACAGGGCCUAGGGGGAACUUGCUUUUUUUAAACUAGAGGUACACUCCAAAUAAAGGACUGAGAAUCACUGGCAAGAUGGCAGCAUAAACAGCCAAAUAAACCUGUAAAUUGAUGUUUGGAUGAGUAAAUGAAGACCCAGAUGAGUCUGCUGUUCUGACAUCUUCAUCCUCACAGAAGCUUUUGAAUUAGCACCACUGGCAGCACUACCUUUGUUCAGGAGGUAGAAGAUGAUGCAGCUGAAACUGCAGCCAAUCAAGACAAGUGACAAGAAGGACAAGAAAACUGAGUUUUUCAAGACCGAACUUCUGCUCUUCCUUUCCUGGGGUGGUCCUGAUGAGAGCCAGUUCCAUCAUAACAUUUUAAUGACUGAGAAAAUCCAGCCAAGAAAUAAGACAUAUUCUGCUUUGUUUAUCAUUUUUUUUGUUUCAUAGUUUAGAUGAUUUCAGUAUUAAUCUACAAUGCAAAACAUUUUAAAAUAAUACAAAAUCAGUGAUUUUAAGGUGUGUAUAAAGGUUGUACUUUAUAUUUGUAAUAUAUUUUUUGGUUGAUUUUUGACAUUAUGUAUUUUUACAUUGCAUAAUUUCAUGAUGAACAAUAA